GUCUGUGGCUAUUCUACCCUGAACAUGCCUGAUCUUGUGUGGUUUCAGAAGCUAAAGCAGGGUCCAGCCUGGUUAGUUCUGGGAUAGGAGAGACAGAGUAGCUAAGACC
ensembl:rRNA predicted gene, 23905